CAGUUUGAAACAAUCUUGAGACUUUUCUGAGGCUUUUGUCGUUUUGUUUUUUCUUUUGAAUAUUUCUGACGUUUAAAUAUGGUCGUCAGUUAUUUUUGGCUGAUAAUGUCUUUUAACAAUAGAUCUGAUUAACUGUUGCCCUCUCAAUAAUUUUGACUGUAAAUGUGUUUCAUUAUAAAUGUACUAGGACUUUGAAAAAAAAAGAGAUAAAAACUGAAAACAAAUUUCAGUCUUUUAUUGUUUCCAUUAAAUUGUGUUAUAUCAAGUACAUCUGUUGAAAAUAAAAAUGUGCUUCUUUUCUUUGCAGUGUAGUUUGGUAUUUUUCAGCUCAUAUGAGGACUCUCUCUGUGCUGAUAUGCAUGAGAGGCUUCUUCAAGGGAAGUGAGACAAUGUGUGAGUGAGUGACUGAUGGAGCAGAAAAAACAUCUGACAGAAACUCCUUAAAGGAGAAAACCCACUCUCACACAGUGAAGGUGUCAAAGUGGCUGGUGUUUGAUUGAUGGCUGUGUGGUCCCUGUCCUCUAAGCUGAUUGGUGUCUCCUAGGUGAUGCCCGUCCCACCCUGACCGUGCUGCCCCCCUCCAGCGAGGAGCUGCAGCGGGGGAAGGCCACGCUCAUGUGCCUGGCCAACAAGGGCUUCCCCUCAGACUGGAAUCUGGCCUGGAAGGUGGACGGCAGAGGCAGAAGCAGCAGCAGCAGCUGGGAGGAGAGCAGCAGCCCCGGGGUGCUGGACAAGGACGGCCGCUACAGCUGGAGCAGCACCCUGACGCUCACUGCAGACCAGUGGAGCAAGGUGGGCUCUGUGACCUGUGAGGCCACCCAGGGCUCCCAGACUCUGGUCUCAGAGACGCUGAGGAGAGACCAGUGUUCCCAGUCCUGACCCGACUCCCUGGGACUCUGCUACUGGUUUUACUCUGCUACUGCUCCCCCCCUGCUCUCUGUAACACUGUCUCUCUCUCUUUUAUUUGACUUGUUUCAGUAGCAGUAUUUACGAGCUUGUCGAGCGUUUCAAUAAUGUUUCUGUGUUUCUAGA